ensembl:misc_RNA Metazoa_SRP Metazoan signal recognition particle RNA
GCCAGGCGUGGUGACGCAUGCCUGUAGUCCCAGCUACUUGGGAGGCUGAGGCGGGAGAAUCGCUUGAACCCAGGAGGCAGAGGUUGCAGUGAGCCAAGAUGGCACUACUGCACUCCAGCCUGGGCAACAGAGCGAGACUCCGUCUCAA